ACCUAAGGCGAGGGCCCUUUCAUCGCUGCUUGCAGCUUUAUAUUAUAUUAUAUUAUAUUAUAUUAUAUUAUAUUAUAUUAUAUUAUAAAGUGCCUAAUUCUUUUUGAAGACUGAAAAUUGACUUUAUUUUAUUUUAUUUUUCCCUGUGUGACUUUUUCCAGUGCAGAGAUGACAUACUUCCAUACUUCCAGUCAAACGCCUGUCAUUGAUCAUUGAGAUGAACGGGAAUGCUACCAGACAGCUCUUUCCAGAAUAAAGAAAGUCAUACAGGUUUUCCAACUACUUCAAGCACCCAGUUUCCUGAAGAGCAGGAAGGGAGAGCGACCUGAUGCUGUUCAUUAAUAAUUCACUGCAGGCAGCCUCUGACUCCCGCAUGGCUCUGUUCAGAUUACAGCUCGCAGCCAGGACUCAAGAUUUUCCCUCUGAAAUCACCUCCAUCCUAUACUGGAUGUGACAGAACUGCAUGUGCAUGUUAUGCACAGAAUUCAAAGUAUGCACUUGUAAGUACUUGAAAC